rnacentral:rRNA from 1 species
UACGGAGGGUGCGAGCGUUAAUCGGAAUUACUGGGCGUAAAGAGUGCGUAGGUGGUUAAUUAAGUUAUCUGUGAAAUCCCUGGGCUUAACCUGGGCAGGUCAGAUGAUACUGAUUGACUCGAGUAUGGGAGAGGGUAGUGGAAUUUCCGGUGUAGCGGUGAAAUGCGUAGAGAUCGGAAGGAACACCAGUGGCGAAGGCGGCUACCUGGCCUAAUACGUGACACUGAGGCACGAAAGCGUGGGGGAGCAAACAGG